AGUAGGUUUCACCAUCUGAGGAUGUUCAGGCAAACAGAACGUCAACAGAGUGAUGUGUGCAGUUCAGAGUUUCUGCCCUUAAAAGAAGACCGUGCUCUACUUCCGCUCUCCUCCCUCUUUGGGUUGGAAUAUGGAUGUGGAGCGGAUGACCAACUCUGAUCAUACAGACAAGGACAACGCCUUCAAGAGCAACAAAAUAGAAGAAACCUGGGCACCUUUUUCAGUCUCACAGAGCACUCUUAACCUCCUGGACUACCCUCAACCCAGAUGUUUUUCUUCUCAGGUCUGUGAACUCAGCCUGAGAAUGACACCACCGGCCUCCACAGUUCUGAGGAUUUUGAACAUGGACUGACCAUGCUAUCAGCAUCUCAGUCUCCAGCUUGCAGAUGGCUUGCCAUGGGACUUCUCAGCCUCCAUAAUUAUAUGAAGACACAGAGGCUCCAGGAGAACACGAGUGCUGGCCAAGACCACACACCCCAUAAACCACGAAGCUACAAUCUACACCCUGGGUCUCACUCUCCAGAGCCCGGCUGCCUCCCUCCUGGCUUCGGGCUUCAAGUUUGUAGCUUGGUUUUGUCAUUUAUUUGCUGAGCUCAAAUCCUGGCUUACUUAACCUCUCUAACUGCCCAUUUCCUCAUCUGGAAAAUGAGGCUAAUGAUAACACAGACCUUUUAAGUUGUUGUGAGGAUCACUAGAUAAAGUCUAUAAACUACUCAGCAGAAUGGCUAGUGCAGAGUAAGCCUCAAUCAAUGUUAUUACUACUUUUUAUUAUGUUUGGUAGCGUUGUCUUUUCUCUGUAUACACCCGCUCUUUGGUCAGGCUCACCUACACACAUGGCUCCCAGCAGCACCUACAUGUGAGAAAGUCCCACCCUCCAUAGCCAGCCCAGACUUCUCUACUGAGUGCUAGGUCCAUAUUCCCGGUCACUGGCUAGAUUUCCUCCCCUUUGAUAUUCCAUGCACACCUCAAAUGUGACAAAACUCACGGCACAUCUCACCUGCAUCCUCCUGUAAAUCUACCUCUUCUCUGACUGCCCUAUGCUUGUGACUGGCAGGUCCCCCUGAGUCAUAAACUUGGGCUUUGUCCUUGAUUCCCAUGACUCCCUGGUUUCACUGUUUCAGCAACAUUUGAUCAGUUACUCAAUCCUUCCUCCUAAACAUCUCUCUGAGUCAUCCACCCUCUCCUGGAUAUUGCCUUUGUCACUGCUGAGUCUGUCUUGAUUUAAAUUUUUGAUAUUUUACUAAAAAAUUUUUUUUGAUAUUUCGUUCAUCAUGUAUUUUGUGCACACAUUUUUAUUUCUAAAAAUAUUGCAUUAAAAGAGUAUUUAAUAUUAAUAACUUGGGGUUUUGGCACUUCCUUAAAUUUUACAUCAGAGAUGAGUACCUCACUUGCCUUAAUUUAGUCUUGGCCCUGCUACCAAUUUUU